rnacentral:rRNA from 1 species
AGUGAACGCUGGCGGUAGGCCUAACACAUGCAAGUCGAACGGCAGCACAGGAGAGCUUGCUCUCUGGGUGGCGAGUGGCGGACGGGUGAGGAAUACAUCGGAAUCUACUCUGUCGUGGGGGAUAACGUAGGGAAACUUACGCUAAUACCGCAUACGACCUACGGGUGAAAGCAGGGGAUCUUCGGACCUUGCGCGAUUGAAUGAGCCGAUGUCGGAUUAGCUAGUUGGCGGGGUAAAGGCCCACCAAGGCGACGAUCCGUAGCUGGUCUGAGAGGAUGAUCAGCCACACUGGAACUGAGACACGGUCCAGACUCCUACGGGAGGCAGCAGUGGGGAAUAUUGGACAAUGGGCGCAAGCCUGAUCCAGCCAUACCGCGUGGGUGAAGAAGGCCUUCGGGUUGUAAAGCCCUUUUGUUGGGAAAGAAAUCCAGCUGGUUAAUACCCGGUUGGGAUGACGGUACCCAAAGAAUAAGCACCGGCUAACUUCGUGCCAGCCGCCGCGGUAA